GGGGAAUUUUGGACAAUGGGCGCAAGCCUGAUCCAGCCAUGCCGCGUGCGGGAAGAAGGCCUUCGGGUUGUAAACCGCUUUUGUCAGGGAAGAAAUCUUCUGGGCUAAUACCUCGGGAGGAUGACGGUACCUGAAGAAUAAGCACCGGCUAACUACGUGCCAGCAGCCGCGGUAAUACGUAGGGUGCAAGCGUUAAUCGGAAUUACUGGGCGUAAAGCGUGCGCAGGCGGUUUUGUAAGACAGAGGUGAAAUCCCCGGGCUUAACCUGGGAACUGCCUUUGUGACUGCAAGGCUUGAGUGCGGCAGAGGGGGAUGGAAUUCCGCGUGUAGCAGUGAAAUGCGUAGAUAUGCGGAGGAACACCGAUGGCGAAGGCAAUCCCCUGGGCCUGCACUGACGCUCAUGCACGAAAGCGUGGGGAGCAAAC
rnacentral:rRNA from 1 species